UGGGGAAUAUUGGACAAUGGGCGAAAGCCUGAUCCAGCCAUGCCGCGUGUGUGAAGAAGGUCUUCGGAUUGUAAAGCACUUUAAGUUGGGAGGAAGGGCAUUAACCUAAUACGUUAGUGUUUUGACGUUACCGACAGAAUAAGCACCGGCUAACUCUGUGCCAGCAGCCGCGGUAAUACAGAGGGUGCAAGCGUUAAUCGGAAUUACUGGGCGUAAAGCGCGCGUAGGUGGUUUGUUAAGUUGGAUGUGAAAUCCCCGGGCUCAACCUGGGAACUGCAUUCAAAACUGACUGACUAGAGUAUGGUAGAGGGUGGUGGAAUUUCCUGUGUAACGGUGAAAUGCGUAGAUACAGGAAGGAACACCAGUGGCGAAGGCGACCACCUGGACUAAUACUGACACUGAGGUGCGAAAGCGUGGGGAGCAAACA
rnacentral:rRNA from 1 species